rnacentral:misc_RNA from 1 species
GAUGAAGAACGCAGCGAAAUGCGAUACGUAAUGUGAAUUGCAGAAUUCAGCGAACCAUCGAAUCCUUGAACGCACAUUGCGCCCGCCAGUAUUCUGGCGGGCAUGCCUGUCCGAGCGUCAUUUCCCCCCUCACGCGCCCCGUUGCGCGCUGGUGUUGGGGCUCCUCCGCCUGGCGGAGGGCCCCGAAAGCGAGUGGCGGGCCCGGCUGGUUGGCUCCGAGCGCAGUACCGAACGCAAGUUCUCCCCUCGCUCAGACGCCCCGCCGGCGCCCUGCCGUCAAAACGCGCAUGACGUGCAACUCUUUUUACAAGGUUGACCUCGGAUCAGGUAGGACUACCCGCUGAACUUAAGCAUAUCAAUAAGCGGAGGA